rnacentral:rRNA from 1 species
UGCUAACGUCCGUCGUGAAGAGGGAAACAACCCUGACCGCCAGCUAAGGUCCCAAAGUCAUGGUUAAGUGGGAAACGAUGUGGGAAGGCCCAGACAGCCAGGAUGUUGGCUUAGAAGCAGCCAUCAUACGUUACGGUGUUUGAUGAGCAGGGAAAUAGCUGGACGGCGGAUAUUCUCGUGGGCUGCGACGGCGUUAAAUCGGUCGUGCGGCAAAGUUUACUCGGCGACGCGCCGCGCGUAACGGGGCAUGUAGU